CGCGUAGGCGGGCUGUUAAGUCGGGGGUGAAAUCCCGGGGCUCAACCCCGGAACUGCCCUCGAUACUGGCAGCCUAGAGAUCGAGAGAGGCGAGUGGAAUACCGAGUGUAGAGGUGAAAUUCGUAGAUAUUCGGUGGAACACCAGUGGCGAAGGCGGCUCGCUGGCUCGAUACCGACGCUGAGGUGCGAAAGCGUGGGGAAGCAAACA
rnacentral:rRNA from 1 species